UACAGAGGGGCGAGCGUUGUUCGGAAUUACUGGGCGUAAAGGGCGCGUAGGCGGCCUUCUAAGUCGAACGUGAAAUCCCCGGGCUCAACCCGGGAACUGCGUCCGAUACUGGAGGGCUUGAAUCCGGGAGAGGGAUGCGGAAUUCCAGGUGUAGGCGGUGAAAUGCGUAGAUAUCUGGAGGAACACCGGUGGCGAAGGCGGCAUCCUGGACCGGCAUUGACGCUGAGGCGCGAAAGCCAGGGGAGCAAAGCGGG
rnacentral:rRNA from 1 species